UACGAAGGGGGCUAGCGUUGCUCGGAAUGACUGGGCGUAAAGGGCGCGUAGGCGGAUGGCACAGUCAGAUGUGAAAUUCCCGGGCUUAACCUGGGGGCUGCGUUUGAUACGUGCGGGCUUGAGUUCGGAAGAGGGUCGUGGAAUUCCCAGUGUAGAGGUGAAAUUCGUAGAUAUUGGGAAGAACACCGGUGGCGAAGGCGGCGACCUGGUCCGAUACUGACGCUGAGGCGCGAAAGCGUGGGGAGCAAACAGG
rnacentral:rRNA from 1 species